rnacentral:rRNA from 1 species
AAGACCUUACGCUUUUGGAGCGGCCGAUGCCUGAUUAGCUUGUUGGUAAGGUAAAGGCUUACCAAGGCUUCGAUCAGUAGCUGGUCUGAGAGGACGACCAGCCACACUGGGACUGAGACACGGCCCAGACUCCUACGGGAGGCAGCAGUGGGGAAUUUUGGACAAUGGGGGCAACCCUGAUCCAGCCAUGCCGCGUGAGUGAAGAAGGCCUUCGGGUUGUAAAGCUCUUUCAGCCGGAACGAAACGGUUACGGUUAAUACCCGUGAUUACUGACGGUACCGGAAGAAGAAGCACCGGCUAACUACGUGCCAGCAGCCGCGGUAAUACGUAGGGUGCGAGCGUUAAUCGGAAUUACUGGGCGUAAAGCGUGCGCAGGUGGUUUUGUAAGUCAGAUGUGAAAGCCCCGGGCUCAACCUGGGAACU